rnacentral:rRNA from 1 species
ACUCCUACGGGAGGCAGCAGUGGGGAAUAUUGCACAAUGGGCGCAAGCCUGAUGCAGCCAUGCCGCGUGUAUGAAGAAGGCCUUCGGGUUGUAAAGUACUUUCAGCAGUUAGGAAGGUGGAGUCGAUAAUCGGUCAGGUACCUGCCGCCAUUUGUACGUUUAGCUGCAGAAGAAGCACCGGCUAACUCCGUGCCAGCAGCCGCGGUAAUACGGAGGGUGCGAGCGUUAAUCGGAAUUACUGGGCGUAAAGCGCAUGCAGGUGGUUUGUUAAGUCAGAUGUGAAAGCCCGGGGCUCAACCUCGGAAUUGCAUUUGAAACUGGCAAACUAGAGUACUGUAGAGGGGGGUAGAAUUUCAGGUGUAGCGGUGAAAUGCGUAGAGAUCUGAAGGAAUACCGGUGGCGAAGGCGGCCCCCUGGACAGAUACUGACACUCAGAUGCGAAAGCGUGGGGAGCAAACAGGAUUAGAUACCCUGGUAGCUACGAGU